AUUGAACGCUGGCGGCAGGCCUAACACAUGCAAGUCGAACGGUAACAGGAAGAAGCUUGCUUCUUUGCUGACGAGUGGCGGACGGGUGAGUAAUGUCUGGGAAACUGCCUGAUGGAGGGGGAUAACUACUGGAAACGGUAGCUAAUACCGCAUAACGUCGCAAGACCAAAGAGGGGGACCUUCGGGCCUCUUGCCAUCGGAUGUGCCCAGAUGGGAUUAGCUAGUAGGUGGGGUAACGGCUCACCUAGGCGACGAUCCCUAGCUGGUCUGAGAGGAUGACCAGCCACACUGGAACUGAGACACGGUCCAGACUCCUACGGGAGGCAGCAGUGGGGAAUAUUGCACAAUGGGCGCAAGCCUGAUGAAGCCAUGCCGCGUGUAUGAAGAAGGCCUUCGGGUUGUAAAGUACUUUCAGCGGGGAGGAAGGGAGUAAAGUUAAUACCUUUGAUCAUUGACGUUACCCGCAGAAGAGGCACCGGCUAACUCCG
rnacentral:rRNA from 1 species